AAGAAGACAAGCUACCUGACAUCAGUGGCGCCGCUGCUGCCCCCCUCGCGGGGGUGCAGUCCCCCUUCAAGGGGGGGCAGUGGGGGGGAGGGGUCCCGGCCCUCCACCCCUGAAGACCAGCCCCCCCACCAGCUGCUAUUGCCGCCCCGCAACACCUGCGCUGCCUGUGCUACUAGUGAAGACAUCAACGCCACAUCAACGCGCCAGUGUGGCGGGUGUGGCGAGUGGUACCAUCCUGGCUGUGGCUCCGUGCCCUCAUCCGGUGUAACGGGAGCCGUUGCGAGUUUGUGGGGCGAUGAGGAGUGGCUGUGUGGCGUGUGCCAUGGCCGUGGCAUCAGAGCCAGUGUGGCACAUGAUGCCCUGCUGCUCAGGAGCCUGCGCCUCGCCAACGAGCGACGUGUGCGUGAUGGCAAGAGCGGCCACCGCAAGGCCGACGCCAGGGCGCGCAAGUCCGCCUCCGCUGCCGCCGCUCGUCGCCCUGCGGCGGCAGAGAAGAAAGCCACCGCCGUGGACGACGCCCCCCUGGACAUCCCCCAUG